CACAUUCACAAUUCAAAUAGACCUACACCUAAAUAUAUAUUUGAGAUUAAGAAAAUCUGUAUCCUACUUAUUUUUGCCUGUCUUUUUUGUACUUUUGUCAAGAUUAAUCUAUAUGAGAUAAAUCCAAUGGUAAAUUGUACUCUGUCAUAUAAAGUAGCUUUUAGACUCUUUCCAGAUAUUGUUGGUUCAAGCCACACUCUCCAAGACUGCAGGACCAGCUGGUGUCUUUUUCAGAGCAAAUAUGAACUCAGUGACUCUGUGGCAACAACAGCUAAAAAAAAUGACGGCAAAACAGAAAAUAAAUGUGGUUGUGGAUGCAUGGUUAAAUAGUGAAUCUAUGAAAAACAUCCUUUUAUCAUAGUGAAACAAGAAUUUCUGUAUGUUUUCAGUGUAUCUGACAAAUACCAGAUUAUACAUGGUCACAACAGAUACGGCAUGCAAUUGACCUUUUCAUGCUGUAUUAAUUUUAAGGUGCUCUGCUGCACAGAGACUUUUGCUCUUUUUAUACUCCCCAUAAAUGCGGACAGCGCAAAGCACUGGAAGUGACAAAAGUGUGAUAUUCAUGAUGACAAAAAGUUUCACGAUGUGUAGUUUUACAGUAUUUAGUUAAAACGUAGCUACAACUUAUUUUAUCUCUUAGAACAUCUUCACAACAAUAAAACAGGAAAGAGCAGAGUCAUCACUAACAGCACACAGACUUUAUUGGACACUUACAGUGGCCUAGUAUGAUCACAUCAAUCAGAGAUAAAGCUGCGAUGUGUUUCUGCCCUCCGCAUAUAAACUGCUAGAUAAACAUCUGUCUUUGUUCCGUCUGUUGGGGGGGGGGGGGAAAGGUGGUGACCAAACUUUUUAAAUAAUUUCUAAUGAGCCAGAGGCAAAAAUGUGUACAUUAUAAGAUGAAUAACAUUUGGGUUCUCUAGCAAGAAUUUGUAGAGUGUAACUAAAACUUGUAAGCAGAUCUAAUGUUAAUGUUAUUGGAUUGUGAUCAGUGCUUUCAUGCAUCAACAUAAUGACAAUACAUUCAUCAAUCCAUUGUAUUUGACUACUUGACUUAAUUAAAGGGUUUUAUUAUUCUGAUUUUAAAGAACAACACAUGGAGAUGUUGUAGUGUGGGCUCCUAUUAUGACAUAUUUGCUUAUUUCAUAUAAUUAUGUACCGCUACUGAGAGUUUGUGCUGGUGACAACAAGUUAUAUCCAUUCUGUGUGAAUGGAUGCGGUGAUUAGUGCUUGAUAUCUGUGACAUAUAAACUGACUGAAAUAUUCCAUCCCUUGUCUCCUGGCAUGAAUAGGAAAGCAUAACACGGGCCUCAUCAUAUGACACAGUGAGGAGGACGCUGUUCUAAUGUUGCAAAAGCUGCUGUAAUGAUCACAUGCGAGGCAGGCUGGAAGUGUGUUGCACUGGAGAGCUCCCUCAGAUAUCAUUAGCUGCUGUGCUGUGAUGAAGAAGCAGGAAUAGGAUCUUGUGAUCCCCUCCUGAGACACUAUUAAUUAAUAAGAGCUUUGCUAAAGAGGCCAUCCUCCACUAAGGCACUCCAUGCUAUCUCAAUGGGAAUCGAUUUGUGUCUCUCUUGCUGCCAAUGUGUCUGCCGGACAUCUUUUACAGUACGACCCUAACGCCAUGGGCCGUCUACGUGUCUGCUGCCGAAGCUUGUGGAGCCAGAUGACACCUUCAGAUCCAGGGAUUACAUUUCAUCGAUGGCCUCUGCUUCCUGUUGGACUUGCACAACACUGUACAAGUCGCAAGUUUGACAUCAUAAGUGUUCAGGUGUAUUAUGUUGCAGGGGAAAUUCAGCUGUGUUUUGUCUUGUAGGUUUAAGGAGCUUGUUAGUUUGACAGCUUAGAAGAACUUUACCACUUUGGCCUCCUGAAUACUUCACAAGACAUUUCUUAUUUAGGGCAAAGCUAACAUUUGUUCAGUAGUAAGAGGAUGUUGACAUGGUUUAACUAUUUUUAACUCUCCCAUUAUUCAUCAGUAUCUAUGCAAAGAAUUCAGAAAAUUAGCCCAUAAGGUGAAAGAGUUCUGUUAACUAAAUAAAUCACUGUUGCAAUGCAUAAUUCAUUGCAUCUGUAACACACCGUCAAACAUUUACAAAAUGCAAUUUUGAAAGAAGAGCAAAACAGGCAUUUACCAUUUGUCCUGAGAAUGUUUUUAAAUUUCUUGGCUUUGCUCUAAGUUACUGACUACAAAGAGCGUACCCUGCAGAGAUGUCGAUCAAUGUGCUCUCUGUAUGCCAUCCUUUCAAUAGAUUAAAUUGACUUUGACAAACCUACAAGUGAUUUUGAAGACUCAGGCGUCGUUUCUUGCCCUCCAAGACAUCACUCAGUGGUUGAAAAAAGUGCACAGAAAAUCUGCAACGAAUAAAAAAGCUCAAAUGAAUCCAUUUUCUGUACCUUCUUAAUCCUUUCCAGGUUUUGCACAUGUAUUUACAGUAGACACAAAAAAGUUCACACACUGUUAAAAUACCAGUUUAUGUGAGAUAAGAAAUAGAGCAUAAUUAUGUCAUUUCGAAACCUCUAUAUCCUGUCCAAUUCUGUUAAAAAAUAACAAAUGUGUUAGAAUAAAACAAUGUGAAUAAGCAAAAGUGAGAGUGCUCACCCAAACUGAUAUUUUGGGAAGCCACUUUUUGAUUUUAUUUCAGCACUGCUAGAAGUCUCCCAGUCUCCUUCAAAUUGAUAUUUUCUUCCAUCUUGCUUUGCAAAAAAGUUUCAAAUCUUUCAGAUUAUCAGGACAUGUCUUGUCCACAUACCUCUAGAGGUGAUCCCACAUAUUUCUGUCAGGUUGAGUUCUGAACUUUAUCUAGGCUGCAAAAACAAAAUCUAUCAUUUUAUUUUGAUGAAAUGAUUCUACUGUUAAUUUGGAUGGAUACUUGGAUUUGUGGUGAUAAUGAAUAUUAAAAUGUCUCUUUCCUUUAGCUUUGUAGUUGAAGUUUUUUGGUCAAACUAUCAAAAGACUUGGAAUGGAUGGAUUUUAUGCACCUUGACAGAAAGUUUAGUUCAUAUCUCAAGGGUAUGUCUAUAAUGGUAUGAGCCAUGAGAAGCUCAGCUCAUAUGGCUUUCUUUCACUGCUUUUGUUGGAAACACACAAGCUACCACACAUCAGAAAAUCUGCUGUUACAAUGACAUAUCAUUCUUUGGCAUUACUUGUUUAUGCACGGCACAUUAGAGCUUUUCUGCUUGUUUGUUUGUCUUAUAACAUGUUUUAAUCUAGUUGUACGGUCUAGUUGUGUCAGUGAAAUAUCCUGACUGUAGAUUGAUGAUGACUGAUCUGUGUGUCUGAAACUUGACCUCUUGGCCAGGUCACCCUUGUAAAAUAGACCUACUGUUAACUUUGUUGGGUUUUUACCUGGUUAAAUAAAGGUUAAUAAAAUUAUAAAAUAAAUUAUCUAAAGCUGAGGACAGGUGUGGACUAAGGGAGAUUGAAUACGGAAAUUAAACUAACUAUUAAUUUGAGGAUGUACACGCAUAUGUAACCAGGUUAUUGCAACUAUUUUUGUUACAUUUUUCUGUUUCCUAUUUUAAAUGUUGGUUUAUAUCUUCAGGAAAACGAUAGGAGGAUAUGUGUAAAAGACCUUCUCUCUGUGUGCAUGGGAGUGCAGGUGCCCAUACCGCUGGCCUAUGGACAAGAUACUAAUAGACCUUAGAGAGGUCGAAAGGCCAACGCAAGUGAUUAGGAAAAAUUGGGAGGAGAAGGAAGAGAAGGACAUGCAGCAAAUGACUCAAAACUGGGAAUUGAACCCAUGACUUCCACGUUGAGUAGUAAGGGAAAGUCAUGGCUCUGCAUGUGGUGCAGGUCGAGCCACCCAACGCCCGUUUUCUGCAAAUAGGAAAAAACAACAAUCAAAACAACACAAGACUAACCUGACCAGAAGCCUGGAAUAGCACAGAGGAGCUGUGUCAUCAUAUUCUUUGUGAUCACGUUGCCUUUUCCACAAAACAAAACCUUUUCAUCAGACACCAUGCAACGUUAACUUCUUUGAAAGUGUGCCAUUGUAACAUUUUGUUGACUUCAUUGAUUGUAAGACUGCUCCUUAGUGGAAUCGGUAGGUGAACACUGUGCCAGGAGCAGAAACCUGGGACCUGCAUGCUGGCAAAUGUGGUGAAGAGCCAUAUUAAGCAAUGGCUGGUUUAAUUGUACAUCUGCAGGUGUGUGCGUGUGUGUGUCGGGGUGUAUGUGCAGUGCUGUGACAUGUUUCAAUACAUCCCUGCUAAAUCUUUGGUCAACAGCCAUCAAAAGGAGUACAUAAAUCUAACAGAUGUGAGAAGUUGUUUUCAUUAUGUGUCCAAAUACACCUUAUGUGAUUACAGCGAUCCAAAAUGUAAGACUGGAGAUGAAGGACAAAAUAUGCAAUAAAAAAUAAUAACACCUUGACAAAAGAAAAAAUGACCUGAAAACCCUAGAAGGUUUCUCUGGACAUGUGAGUGAAAACUGGCUAAGUGGAUAAAAACCAUAAAUACUGAGAAGUGUGACUGAUGAUGACUUGCAGGUGUGUGAAGCUGAAAACUGAGAACACAAAGAAGUAAAAACAAAAGUAGAAAUUAAAGAAAAAAAAUCUGCACAAAUGACUCAUGCAGUUGUUUUUGUUUAUGUGUUUAUUUGUUUGUAGACAAGCUAUAUUAUGUAGGAAUGAUCAUACAAACAAAUUCUCCUUCACUCUGAGAGAUAAAAUCAAAUCGACUUUGUUGAGUUUUAUGUCAUGUUAUUCCUCCAUCAGAAACAUACCUGGAGUGUUGCUUUGAUUCUUUCAAGCAAGUUUGAGAAAUCCUUUAAUCUCCUGUGGCAACCAUUUGAGAGUUUUGUUCUCACAAAACACUGUCUAUUUCCACAAUGUUGCUCCAGCUACGGUCUCCUAGCAGAUCUUCCACCUCACUGAGCGGCCAUUCUCCGUGACUGCCCAUUCAACUCCUCUAGACUAGCGGCAGCAGCAAUUUGCAAACACCUGGUGGAACUAGGAGUCAACUCAGCUCGUCUUACAACCUACUUCUCAGUCCAAUGCUCCUAAGAAUAAAUGUAAAUGACAUAAUGGAGGAACGUGAUGACAUGCUAAAGGAGGAGUCCAGGAAAGAGUAGGAGCUUCUUAAAGAGACGGGACAUAAUUUCAAGGCCUUAAAUUACAAAGUCAACUGCAUGUGGUCACUGACCUGUACUGCUCUAAACCUUCAAAUUUACCAUUAAACUGCAAAUAAAUUGCCAAGCAGCAUAUUAUUCUGUUCUGUUUUAAAUUACUUUUUAAAUUUUGGGUUUUUUUCUUAAGUUGAUGUCCCACCUCCCCAAAUGAAGCGACCAUGCCUGAAGAAAAGCCAAUAGUUCUGUGUCAAAGCAAUAAAACCAAUCUCACUUGAAAGUCUUGAGCAAUAUAUGAUUGUAUAACAGUGUUUAUACCUGAAAAGUCCUGAGUUUGAGCCCAGCUAAUUAUCCUAUUUCUUACGCCUAUCAAUUUUGACAACAGAGGCCCAGAUUUAGACUUAUAAUAAAAAAAAGCCAAAACGACAUUUAACUACAAGAGACUGGUGCCUCUCCAUAAUCUCUGUGAAUCUCAAGAUCUCCAUAACAACCAGUCUGCUUUAUAAAAAUCAACAAGCUCAAGGUCAGGUUUUCUUUUUCACCACCACUGCUGAGCUUUUUUAUUAAAAACUGCCAAAGGGAAACUUUUUUAAAAAUCAUACUAUCACAUCUACACUUCCUUUCUUUGAGUCAGUGCACUGUUCCCAAACCGUACACUAAAGCCAGUUUCACAUCCAAUUUUGUAAAAACCUACCUUUCUCUCUUGCAGCUGUCCUUCUUUCACAUAUCAUCCAGGACACACAUCUCCAUCCAGUAAACCUGCUCUCUUUUCAUCACUCUUGUGUACCGUUUGUUGCUUAAAAUGGUUGACCGCAGGCACUUGAACUCAUCCACCAUCUGUACUUUGCAGUUUCACUACUGUUCCACCUGUCUCCCUCUCAUUCAAACACCUGUCCUCCUUUGCUUACUGACUUUCGUUUCUUUUUCUUUUUUUUUUUACGGAGUAAGCCUCCACCUCUGUACCAGUGUUUUUCCUAGUUCCAAGGUUAUACAUGCUUCCGUCUGAAGACUUCACCUCAGACAUGACUUCAUCUUGUCUACUUUUAAUUUUACAUAAGGGUAAGAUACCCUGUGCUUACACUCUUCAUUUUCUCAAGAUACAUGCAUUGAUUUUUGUAGCAAAAGAAAACCAACAAGAAAAACCCACAGAGAAUAAUGAUCAGCAAGACUGACUGAGGAUUAUUGAUCACAACCCUUUUAUCUCUGUGUGGUCCCACAGAUUUUUAAAGUGCAGCAUUGAAAAUCAAAUAUUAUACCACAGUUUAUCUUUUGUUAUGUAACAGCCUGAAAUAGCAAACGCUAUUGCUUUUAGCCUUAAAGCCAUAUUUACCCUCUUGAAAGGUGCCAUCCGGGAUCCUAAAAUUGUAACAUAUCAUAAAAGUCAUAAACUUGGUUUUUCAAUUUUCUAAUGGACUGCUGAUGACAGCUACAAAAACACAAUAAAUAGACUUUUCACUGUGUCUUUUCUUUUGUUUUAACAUAGGAAAGCUGGUUGAGAAGAUCAAUAUUAAAUGAACUAUUUUGACCGUGCUUUUAUGAAAACUCAUGUGGGUAGACUAUACUUAUUCAACGCAUAUUUCUCUUGUCUGCCACUGAGCAGGUUUGCAAUGGGAUUAAACCUGUUUUUUUUAAACAGAUGUGCUCUGUAAACAUUGAGGUAAACACAACAAACAUUAUCCAUUUGCAGCUGUUUUAAGAGUGACACCAGAAAAGCUUGUAUGACGGUACAGUUUAUAAGAACCUGUCAUGUUCCGUGUUUUUCCUGUGUAUUUAUUUCGAGUUUCUGUGUUUCUGAGUUUCCAUGUUGUCCUGUCUUCCCCUUGAUUGUCCCCAGGUGUUUCUCGUCCCUGUAAUUACCUCCUGUGUAUUUAGUGUCACCUGUGUGUCUGUGUCUUUGUCGGGUCCUCGUCUCAUUGUGGCGUCUGUCGUUUGUGUAUCCAGUCUGUCGUCUUGUCCGUUUGAGUAACCGGUUGCUACCGGCGUCGAGCCCUGGCUACUGCUCGGCCGUGCUGCCCGGAAUUCUGGACA